GAUGAACGCUGGCGGCGUGCCUAAUACAUGCAAGUCGAGCGAACAGACGAGGAGUUUGCUCCUCUGACGUUAGCGGCGGACGGGUGUGUAACACGUGGAUAACCUACCUAUAUGACUGGUAUAACUUCGGGACACCGGAGCUAAUACCGGAGAAUAUAUUGAACCGCAUUGUUCAAUAGUGAAAUACGGUUUUGCUGUCACUUAUAGAUGUAUCCGCGCCGGAUUAGCUAGUUGGUAAGGUAACGGCUUACCAAGGCAACGAUGGGUAGCCGACCUGAGAGGGUGAUGGGCCACACUGGAAGUGAGCCACCGUCCAGACUCCUACGGGAGGCCGCGGUAGGGAAUCGUGCGCAAUGGGCGGAAGCCUGACGGAGCAACGCCACGUGAGUGAUGAAGGUCUUCGGGUCGUAAAACUCUGUUAUUAGGGAAGAACAAAUGUGUAAGUAACUAUGCACGUCGUGACGGUACCUAAUCAGGAAGCCACGGCUAACUACGUG
rnacentral:rRNA from 1 species